rnacentral:tRNA from 1 species
AGCCCCGUCGUCUAGCAAAACCUGGAUAACGGUCAAGGAUAGUGGACUUUGGAUCCAUUGACGGCAGUUCGAAUCUGCCCGGGGCUA